AGAAUCAACGCUGGCGGCGUGCCUCAGACAUGCAAGUCGAACGAUUAAAGCUCUCUUCGGAGAGUGUAUAGAGUGGCGCACGGGUGAGUAACACGUAAGUAAUCUACCCUCGAGUGGGGAAUAACGUCCGGAAACGGACGCUAAUACCGCAUAAUGCAGCGGCACCGCAAGGUGACAGUUGUUAAAGAUUUAUCGCUUGAGGAGGAGCUUGCGGCAGAUUAGCUAGUUGGUAAGGUAAUGGCUUACAAGGCU
rnacentral:rRNA from 1 species